GGAAAAGGCCACCAGUUGCUUAGAUAAUAGAAUAUUCGGAGAGGCAGCGAGAGAACUUGCAGUAAGUCUGCAAUGGCGAGAUUUAUCAUAAAAAUAACGGCUCGUUUUGUUUCCCUCAUAUAAGCAUAAAAUACCCAGAGAGCUAAAACGUUUCCAAUUAACCCAGGGACUAAAAUUAUAGUGUACGUGAUUGCAUACAGUUGACUUAUAGAUGUGUGGUUCAUGUCAAGUUCACAUGUAAUGGAAUUAUU